CUGCCUUGCUGAACAGACCCGUGGACACUCUUUGAUUUGAAUAUGAGCUACAGGGUCGAGUGAGAGGCUGAUCUAAAAAUACAUGCCUGCAUGCUUGAGGCUACAAUGUGUACAUAAAUCCAAACCCACAGAAGAAAGUGGUUGUAUUCAGGAGCAAAGGAGACCACAGAACUGAGCUGAAGGAUCCCUUCCAGGAGGUUUAUGGAACAGUGAAGUCAAAUGAAGCAGAGGACAGCUGAGGAACCG